AUUGAACGCUGGCGGCAGGCCUAACACAUGCAAGUCGAACGAGUGGCGGACGGGUGAGUAAUGUCUGGGAAACUGCCUGCUGGAGGGGGUUAAAUACUGGAAACGGUAGCUAAUACCGCAUACCAUCAGAUGUGCCCAGAUGGGAUUAGCUAGUUGGUGGGGUAACGGCUCACCAAGGCGACGAUCCCUAGCUGGUCUGAGAGGAUGACCAGACACACUGGAACUGAGACACGGUCCAGACUCCGACGGGAGGGAGCAGUGGGGAAUAUUGAACAGUGGGCGCAAGCCUGAAGCAGCCAGGCCGGGUGUAUGAAGAAGGCCUUCGGGUUGUAAAGUACUUUCAGCGGGGAGGCGUUACACGCAGAAGAAGCACCGGCUAACUCCGUGCAAGCAGCCGCGGAAUAC
rnacentral:rRNA from 1 species